GCGGGAGUAACUCAGUUGGUAGAGUGUGUGCUUCCCAAGCACAAUGUCGCGGGUUCGAGUCCCGUCUCCCGCU
rnacentral:tRNA from 1 species